UACGGAGGAUGCGAGCGUUAUCCGGAUUUAUUGGGUUUAAAGGGUGCGUAGGCGGGUGCACAAGUCAGGGGUGAAAUCCCGGAGCCUAACUCCGGACCUGCCUUUGAAACUGUGUGUCUUGAAUUCGGAUGCCGUGGGAGGAAUGAGUAGUGUAGCGGUGAAAUGCAUAGAUAUUACUCAGAACACCGAUUGCGAAGGCAUCUCACGAAUCCGACAUUGACGCUGAGGCACGAAAGCGUGGGGAUCAAAC
rnacentral:rRNA from 1 species